UAACAAAAUCCAAAGUUCAUACUUGCAGACAACUCAAAUCUGCACCUUCAAAUGACCCUGCUUUAUUCUCGGCUUCGUAACGUCCACUUUCGUUGCCAUGGAAACCAGCCAAACCCUGAUCUGCUAAGAACGGAACUGCUGCUUUCAAUCCGUUUGAGUGAAGUAGCGUUUAACCAAUGUAACAUACCGCACAGAAGGUAUAAAUUUGCAGUGGUGCAGAAUUAUUUCCAUUAGAAUGGACUUAUGCUUUUAAGCACAACUUAAGGGGGGUUUAACUGCCAUCAGUUGGAUAGUUUUACUGAAAAUCUCAAGACAGUCCAGUCGUUUGAAGGCUGUCUAGCAGGACGACAUGCCUGAAGAACAGAAACUCGUGAUGCGACUUAGUUCACCCGAGAGGUCGCACCAGAAUGAACGCCGUGGAAGCAUAAGUUUCAAAAGUUUACUUUGCAGAUUUAUUGUGAAUGUGUUACUGUUUUGUUUAUCGGUAAUCAUCUUGUAUCACUGCUAUCGGAUCAUAUUUCUGUGUCUUUUCGCAUUGCUACAGACCAUUGAUGGCAUACUUCAAACCAUUGGGCGUCGCAAUUACACAGUGCAGAUCAGGCGGCGGGAAGACGAACUUCGAGUUGAAACCCAGAUUGACGCCUUACUUCAGAUAAGCCACGUCAUCACAUCCCGCCGUGGUCAAGGCGCAUGUCAUGCAAGAGAAACCGUUAAAGACUUCGCUAAGGGAACGGAAGUUUUUGCUGAUGGCCGCGACUGCUUUGUGCGAUUUUUCAAUGCUAGCGAAGAAGACUACGACCAGCAAAUUCUUCUUUUCCAAGCCUUAAAGGGACUGCCCAUGAUCCAAGCGACCGAGCCUGUCACGAUGC